UACAAUUGAAUCUUGGGUGGGCGUGGUUUCCCUUCAAAAGGAGGUGAAGCCAUGGAAGUAAAAGAUGCUAUUACAAUCAUGUUCCUUUUCGGCAUGUUUAUUCUUGCUCUUUUAACAUACAUCAGUAUUAACAACAAGAGAAAGUAAAAACCCACCCCAAGGUUGACCGCCGAAGGUGGGCUUUUGUCUUUUGAGAACUCAGAAGGGAAUCCCAUCCAAGCCAAUUGUACAGGCCAAGUGUUCACAGCACUUGGU
rnacentral:sRNA from 1 species